ACCCACGUUAGGUCCCGCAGCUGUGCCUCUGCUCUCCAGCCCUCACCAGCCUGGCGUUAACAUUCUUCCGCGCCUUGGCCAGUGCGCUAAGAGCAAAAUGGCACUUUUGCCGUCUAUGCGGGACGUUGCAUUUCUUUGAUCGUUGACAAAAUUCAACGUUCUGUUACCUUGUGUUUAUGGACCCUAUUUUCCUUUGAUGAAUUACCCAACUGUAUCCUUAGCCCACUCUUCCAUUAAUGUGUUUUUUUUCUUGUUGAUUUACAAGAACUCUUUGUAUAUUAUGGAUAGGAAGAAGAGGCAGAGUGGAUUCACGGAUUUGUUCUCUUUUCUGGGGAGAGUAAAUGGAAAUGUCACCCCUUUCUCAAGGGCAGAUGCAAACGGUCUUUUCAAAUCGGUUUGGAGGAAAAUAAAUGAGCCCAUGCUGGGGCUUCAAUAAAUCUUUGCGUAAAGCCACAAGGGACAAAGGGAGCUUUGGGCAUUUCUCCCCCUCCUGGAGGGUCUCCCGGUGAAAUAUUUGUCGUGGCCGUGCUCCGCGUGUGACCGGGGUCCGUGUCUCUGAGCCAGGACCUGUCUCCAGGAGGCGAUCUGUGUGCUGACCUUCUGCCCAGCGGCUCGAGGACCCCCACCCCGGCUGCAGGCGACUCUGGUCCCCCAAGGAGGAUCAUCUCUCCUGGCCUCCCUGCUGGGGACCGGAGGUUGGUGGCAGCAGCGUGGCUCGUCGCCUCCUGGCCUGUCUCCCCGUGCUGUCCCCACCCACCGGCCAAAUGGUGGCCUGGUCUCUAUCUGCACUCUUCUCCCUCUGUCUCCCUGACACUCUAUACAUCCAGUGUCCCAGCCCCCAGCACGUUGCCCAGGCGGCUUGGCACCUGGGGUGACCUUCACCUACCAGACCCCCCUGGAGGAGCCUUGCUCUCCCGUGAGGGAUGACCCCCGAGGCUCCUCGACGCCGUGAUGCCCGCCUUGAUUUCCCUUCCUGAUGCAGCGGACCUCCAUUCUUUCUAGGCGGUGGGCAUGUUGUGGACACUUGCCCUUCCCUGUGAUUUCCACUUGGCACCUCUCUGGCGUUUUCACGGGUUCCUCCACUCUGGGUCUGUCUGAUUCCUUUCUUAGAGGGAGGUCGGGAGUAACAGGCCGGGCUGAGCGUGGCACGUGUGCGCUCCAUGGGCCACGGGGACCCGUGGAGCCGGAGGCGACAGCAUCCGUGGGCCAGGAGGGGGCCUCAGCGCCCAGCGGGAGAGGAGAGUCCCUCCCUGACUCCAGGAUGCAUGGAGUGGACCACUUGUCCACCCCUGCCUGGCCGUCUGGACUGGGGUAAUCGUGUCCCUCCCCCCCCCCCCCCCCACAAAUUCAUACCCACCGCAUCUCAGAACGUGAACUUAUUUGGAAGUAGGGUCUUUGCCGCAGAUGUAAUUAAAGUCCGGGUCUUGAGACGAGAUCAUCGUGGCUUAGGGAGGGCCCCAAAUCCAACGAGUGUCUUUAUAAAGGACAGAGGUGAAGACCCACGCACACACAGAGACCACCUGAGAUCGGGGCAGAGAUGUGAGCGAUGCGGCCGCAGCCCGGGGAUGUCCGGAGCCCCCAGAAGUUGUAGGGCACGGGAAGGACCCUCCCCGAGAGCAUCCGGAGGGCGCGGGGCCCUGCCCACCCUUGAUUUCAGAUCUCUGGCCUCCGGACCGUCAGAGAAUCAGUCUCUAUUGUUUUAAGCAACCAGGUGUGGGGUUCUUUGUUACCGCAGCCCCGCGACACUCAGAGGACAUCCGUUGCCAACAGGACUGAAGGAAAUGGGCGGAGAUUUCCUCAGUUUGCGGUCUCUGAGAGGGUCGGCCUGCCGUCCCAUUGCUGCUGUCCACACCACCGUGCUGGCUGAGACCAGAUUGCCACGGGCUCCGCCCUCUCCCACCCCACAGCCGCCCUCCCUCACAGACAGGGGCCGCUGCGACCUCUUCCACGGGCAGGGAAACUGACGCUCAGAGAGGCUGGGGAAGAGCCACAGCUAUGGCGCUUGGCCACUGGGUUGGCUCCAGUUCAUGGCCUCUGCCCCCGGUGACUUACUCCGGGCCCUUGAGCGCCACUCGAUCCACAGCCGACCCUCAUCAUCUGUUCCUGGGGCUGCGAACAGCACUUGUAGCCACGGAACCCUCAGGGUGGGAGCCCACGGACUUUCCAGAACGUCUGCCCGAAGCAGGGAGGAUUCACUGAAUGAAGGGAUCCCUGAUGAUGAACUGAUGAAUGAAGCCGGUCUGGCGGGCUC